UGGUUUUCCCAAUUAUCUCAUAGGAAUAAUCUGUGGCCUCGGGUGAUCCAUGGUUUUUCCCAUGGUCUCAUAGGAAUAAUCUGUGGCCUCAGGUGAUCUGUGGUUUUCCCUGCUGUCUCAUAGGAGUAAUCUGCAGCCUCAGGUGACCUGGUGGUUUUCCCUGUUAUCUCAUAGGAAUAAUCUGU